AGAAAGCACAACUUGCACCACCACGUAUGGGAAGACUUGCUGGGUUAAACCUGCCGAGAGAACUUGCACGAUCAAGCCCUCUCGGAAAGCCUGGAAUGAAUUAGAACAGGAAAGCCAGAUGACAAAUAUGUAAGAGGGAACGAGAUGCCUUCAGUAAUAUUCCCAAAAUCUGUUCGGGUAAAUUCGUUACUCGAAACUACGAAAUUACGUACUUCCGUUCAACCUUUCCCUAAUGACGCUUUCUGAGGAAAGUACAAUUUCUACUCGUCCACUUGGUCCUGAGUCGCGGAAGAGGCAGCAGCGCCGAUCCAGUAGUCUAGCCCCCCGGUGUGUUUAGUGACGGUAACUCGAGUGAAACGAGUGAUCUGUAGAUUUGUGUAGUUAAUCUUUGUUCUUUCCUGUAGUGUCCAACCUUAGCUUAGCUAGUAGUUUGUGCGGUCCGAUUCUGUGUGCGAAGAGGAAUAAAAAGCCGACGACGGCGUUCUGUUCUAGAGUCGGAACCAACCGCCUCCUACCAGCUCGUGCUCGCCACACCGCCACCAAAAGCCUUAACCGCCCUGCUGACCCCGCGGUCUCAGCGAUCGAGCCCCGGAAGGCCCACUGGGAUCCGGAAGGGAGACCACACGCUACACGUGGCUCCAGGGAGAGCCAUCCAUCGCGCCAGCCGUUCCUGUCCAGCCGCUGGUCCAGAUUCGCCGCAGGAGUUCACCAGACCGUAGACCCCGGUCCACGUGGUCACGCACCGUCCAGGUUCCCGAAGGAGGCGACCCGUCCACCAGGCCGGCCAGCCGGCCAAGCCCGAUUUCAACCAGGCCGCCCCCUUAAGAUCGCGCGCCUUUCAUCUGCUCCAGAAGAAUAUCGCACCGCGCGAUGCACUAGCGACGCGUAAGCCAAUCAACGAAACCGGUCCGUGAGUACUCACCUAUUACGUAAAAACCGCAUGCGUACGCACUCGUAGACGUCGUCCGAGUUGCCAAAAACACACACACACAUUUUCUAAGGCUCGUUGCCCUUUCCCGAGCCUAGUUCCGUUGGUCACCGUUACACCUGUGACCUCCGGGCUAACGUAACUAAGCCCCAGAACAAAUCCGCACACAGAUAGUUAGUAGAGAGAGAGA